UCAAUUUUUUUUGUUGAGAUGAAAAGGUGAAUGCUUGCAGGAGAAUAUUCUGUGAGGAACUUUGCCCGCAACGUGCAAAGUCUUGAAGCAACACCAUCAUCGCCAGCUGAGUCUGAUCGCCGCUUCAUGUUGAACAUACUUUUAUACAGCAUAAAGUCAUGUUUGAAUAAAGGUUAUAAUAAAGAUA